UACAGAGGUGGCAAACGUUGUUCGGAAUUACUGGGCGUAAAGGGCGCGUAGGCGGCCUGUUAAGUCCCGUGUGAAAUCCCUCGGCUCAACCGAGGAACUGCACGGGAAACUGGCGGGCUUGAGUUCGGGAGAGGGAAGCGGAAUUCCGGGUGUAGCGGUGAAAUGCGUAGAUAUCCGGAGGAACACCGGUGGCGAAGGCGGCGUCCUGGACCGACACUGACGCUGAGGCGCGAAAGCUAGGGGAGCAAACGGG
rnacentral:rRNA from 1 species